UGUCUAGGAAGGAGGGAGGGAAACCAAGGAAGCAGGAGGCUCCUCCUUCACUCGCGUCCUCCGGUCCCCAUGUAUGCCACGUGGGUGGGAGGGUGUCACACACACCCACGCGUCCACAACCACACUCGCCGCGCUCCCGCCCGGGCCGGACCCGUCUCCACGCGCCUGUAGGCGCCGGGCCUCAACCGGCCACGCCGCCACCUGCUGCUGCGUCCCCAGUGAGGGAGGAGCUUCUCUGCGCAUCCCCUACCCGCUCCCGCAGCCUCCCCAUCCUCCCCGGCGGGGCUGAGGCCAAGUCUUUCCCCGGAGCCCCCUCCUCUGCGCUGAGGGGGAGGCGGAGGGAGGAGCUCCGGCCCCAGCCGCCCGCCCUGCCCCUCCCUCCCUCCCUCCCGCCGCUCCCCCUCCCCUCCCUUCCCCUCGGUUGCCGCAGCCCGGUUAGUCGCGCGCGUCAGCGUGGGCUCCCCGGAGCGAGUCGCUAGGUAACGGGACUGGCUCCGCAGACCCGCGGCCCAGGGAAGCCCGCGCGCGCUGUCAGCAGCUGCGCGCGGGGCGCGGGCGGGGGCGCACGGACCCUCCCCUGGGGGGGCUGCAGACCCCGACCCGCACGCGGCCCCCUCCCAGGAUGCCUUAACCCGUUCGGAUCGCCACCGCCCAGGUGCCCCUCCCUCGCAGGGACCCCGACCCCGCCGGCCCUCUCCUCUUCCCCCCGAGCCAGUGCACACCGCUCUGCGCGCAGCCCGGUGGGCGCCCCACCUCCGUGGUCGCCGUUGCCGCCGGUCCUCCUGCCGAGCCCCUGCGCGGGGCAUGAGGAGCCCCGGGGCGCCGCCCGGAGACGACCCGGCUGCGCGCACACCUCGCCAGCGGCGGACGGGGACAUGAGCGGCGCGCACGGGGUCCGUCGCCCGGCGGCCAGCCCCAGCCGGCGGCGGCCAGCGGGUCGGCGCUGCCCGGGAGAAUGAGGCAGGAGCCCGCGGCAGCCUCCUCCUUCACCACCUUCUCCUCCUCCUCUUCGCCUUCCUUCGGCUCCGGCGCCCGGGCCCCGGCCGGGCUGUGGCUCUGCUGCGUGCCCCGCGCGCCCCCCGCCCGCCUCCGGAUGCGCUGCUCGGUUAGCCUGGGGCGGAAGAUAAAGACAUUUGCCACCAAGAUGGUAAUCACGAGUGGAAAUGAGGAGGACAGAGAAGGCCAGGAGAGAGAGAAUAAGGAAGAGAGUAUCUUGGCGAUGCUGGGGAUUAUCGGGACCAUUCUGAACCUGAUUGUCAUCAUAUUUGUAUACAUCUACACCACUCUGUGAAUGGCCCGGAGGGUGCUUGGAGCCCACGGGGGUGGCCGGAAGACGGGAGCCCUGCGUGUCAACACAGCCAUGAUCAGACGCUGUGCAAACAAGCGGGCUUGACCUACACACGCUGCUGGAACAAAUGCACCUUCGAACUUUAUAAAAGGGUCACACAAACCAAGCCUGCCGCCAGGAGCAGACACUAAAGCACAAUGAAUCCAACAAGACUCAUUCACACAACAAGGAACUCAGCGUCUUUGGCCCAGGGCCCACGAGACCGCUCGGAAGACCAGCCUUUGACGCCGUCGGUGAGCAGAUGGGGGCAGAAAUCCACGGUCCCAGAUCUCUGAUGGCUCUCACGCCUCGGGCAAGGGCAACAGGGCAGUGUGGCUCGGGGGUGCAUCACCCGGGACAUGCGCUCGGCCUCCACUCCACGGACCGUUCGGAACAAAACCCUUUGACACACAUCCCACCCAUCAAAAGUGUCUAACUAUUUGAUACUGGGGAGAUAACUUAUUUUUCUUUUUUCAUUGGCUUGACGUGUGUAUCUGUUCAUAUCAAGGUUUAUAAAUAUAUAUUUUUAAUAAAUGUGCUCUAUUUUUUAGCAUGAACCAAAUAUUUGGAGAGGCGCUCCUGGAGUCCUAGAGCCUUCUUUGGUUUUAUCUGCUUUGCCCCGUAGACUCGCAGGUGUUCUGUGGUAUUGCCAUUCUUGUCCUGCUUUGAACAUCUUCAGUCUUUUACCUUCUUUCUCUCUCUCUCCUUUUCUCCCUCUCUCUCUCUCCCCCCCACUUUUUGGUCUGGAGGGCAUUUCCCAUAAUACCAGCCAUGGUCCUGGUCAAUGCAUGUUUUCAGAUUGUCCGUUGAGCGGCUUUUUGUUGUUAUAGGGGAGAUCUAAAACGAUCGUGGGCAUGGGGUCCUUUGUUGCACCGUAUCCUUAUUGAGAAUUUUGCAUGAACAAGGGCUGAGUGAUAGAUCAGCUUCUGAGAGAUGUAAAAAGGACUGUCAUGGAAGGAGAGAGGGCAGCAGUAUCCACAGAUCAUCUCUAGGAUGGAACAUUCAGCUUCCUCCUGGCAGCAUUAUUAUUUCAUGCUUGUUACCAUUUGUCGAUCAGAUUUUUAUCUUAAUGGCCACAUGCCGUGAAAGAUAGGGGAGACGGAGGGGGUAGAGGCCAGCGUGAGUGCAUAAUCCCUUCCUUAGUGAACUGCCUGGGACCAUAAUCAAAGUAGUUGGGAUGUAAAGGGCAUGUGGAAUCAGUCCCCGCAGGAGAGAUCUGGGUGUUUCAGGCUGCAGAGAUACCCCUGUGACAGGUGACCUUUUAAGGGCACAAGAAUGGGACAGAAUGAUCACCCCCAAAAGAUUGCUGUGCUUCCUUAAAGCUCCUGGUUUACACCCCCGCAAAGCCACUUCCUCCCUGGUAGGGUUGGGUGAAUAUAUAUGAAUUUGCCCUGUUCUCCCAGCUCCCUGAGACGGGUCUUUGCCUGGCUGUGACAAAGAGGGUCACAGUUCCUUUUGCCAGUGCCAGACUUGCUCAUGGACGAAAGAAGCAGCAACUUGCCUUGUUGGGUUCAAAUGACGCGCGGCAGGUCUCUACCGCCAGAUCUCUCCCUCCCCUUGUUGUGGUAUCUGAAAUUCCACCAUUAGAGAGUCAUUUCUUGUGCUCUUCUAAGGGACCAGGUUCUUUUAUAAAGCAGAUGCCCUUGAGCACCUGGCUCUGACAUUAUUCAUCUGGUGUCUUCUCUUCCCUACCGGAAGCAAGUAGACAUGCAUUUAGGGCACACGGUGUGCCAGACACAGUGCCGGACACUUUAUAUUCCUUAGGUCAUUGAAUUCCCCCUGUAUCCCUGUGAGAUGGGGAGGUCUUUUCCCAGCAUCGUGGAAGAAAGGCGGGCUCAGAGAGAUCAUGUGGCUGAAACGCCUCCUCCCGAUCUGAUCGUUUCCUUAGCCCAGCCAGGACUGGGCUUCUGGAGAGAGAGGAAAUGCUCAGGAGGGGAAGGCGCUGGAAAGAGCCCUUGGGGUCAGGUCACAGACCUGAUAGCUUUGCUAAGGGCCAGCUCUGCACACCUCCCCACCCCCUCCUCCAUAAAAAUAAAUAAGCCUUGGGAACUCCUUGGACACUGACAGAAUAUCAUACAAAUAAGGACGAGGGACGAGAGGAGGCUGGUUAGAAAUAAAACGGGAUGUCGGGCGGGGGGGAGUUAUCUACCAGGUUCUUUGUGAUUCUAGAAAGACUGUAUGAAAAUUCUGAACAGUGAACAGAGUAAACAAUAAAGGUGCAA